UACGGGGGGAGCAAGCGUUGUUCGGAUUUACUGGGCGUAAAGGGCGCGUAGGCGGCCAGCACAAGUCAGUUGUGAAAUCUCCGGGCUUAACUCGGAAAGGUCAACUGAUACUGUGCGGCUAGAGUGCAGAAGGGGCAACUGGAACUCGUCGGUGUAGCGGAUGAAUGCGUAGAUAUCAGGAGGAACACCGAUGGCGAAGGCAGGUCUCUGGGCCACUACUGACGCUGAGAAGCGAAAGCAUGGGGAGCGAACAGG
rnacentral:rRNA from 1 species